CAGAUGAUUGGGGUGAAGUCGUAACAAGGUAUCCCUACCGGAAGGUGGGGAUGGAUCACCUCCUUUCU
rnacentral:rRNA from 1 species